AUUGAACGCUGGCGGAAUGCUCUACACAUGCAAGUCGAACGAUGAACCUUAGCUUGCUAGGGGGAUUAGUGGCGAACGGGUGAGUAAUAUAUCGGAACGUACCUUGUAAUGGGGGAUAACUAGUCGAAAGAUUAGCUAAUACCGCAUACGCCCUGAGGGGGAAAGUAGGGGAUCUUCGGACCUUACGUUAUAAGAGCGGCCGAUAUCUGAUUAGCUAGUUGGUGGGGUAAUGGCCUACCAAGGCGACGAUCAGUAGCUGGUCUGAGAGGACGACCAGCCACACUGGGACUGAGACACGGCCCAGACUCCUACGGGAGGCAGCAGUGGGGAAUUUUGGACAAUGGGCGCAAGCCUGAUCCAGCAAUGCCGCGUGCAGGAUGAAGGCCUUCGGUUGUAAACGUGCUUUGUUACGGUAACGAAACGGU
rnacentral:rRNA from 1 species